rnacentral:lncRNA from 1 species
GGAAAGAUCCUUGGCACCCUGUCUUGUCGGGGAACAAGGUCAAGUGCAUGAGGAGCUGGGAUCCAUGAGACCCGUUGGCCGCCCCCCACCUCCGAUUUCUCGUACUAAUGGAUGUCUAUGUUUCCACUCAGAAUUCUCCUUCAUUUGUCAGAGCUCCACCACUCUCAAAGUGUCUGUGGACGUGAGGAGGAUGUAACGCAGACCGAGUGACGGUGCUCAGAAACCAUCCAAACAUUACGCAUCGAGACAAGAAUUUUAGAGAUGUUUCAGGGAGUGGGCGCGCGUCCCGACUUCCUUGGCAAGCCGACUGCCCAAUGCUGCAACAUCAGUGAGGGCGCAGACCUUCUCUGAAUGCUGAGGGUCACCAGCUUGUGCAGGAAAGGUAGGCUAAGAGGGCAGAUGUUGAACUUUAAAGGGAGCAUUUAGAAUACCAGCCUGUACAUGCAGGUGGAUGCCAUCGUUUAGCAGUUAGAAAUUCAUCAGUUACACUAAGCAGCAAACUUUUUCAUAGAUAUAGAGGGGUUUUCUAAUAGA